rnacentral:rRNA from 1 species
UACGGGGGGGGCAAGCGUUGUUCGGAAUUACUGGGCGUAAAGGGCGCGUAGGCGGUUCGCUAAGUUGGAUGUGAAAACUCUGGGCUCAACCCAGAGCCUGCAUCCAAAACUGGCGGGCUAGAGUUCUGGAGGGGGUAGCGGAAUUCCUGGUGUAGCGGUGAAAUGCGUAGAUAUCGAGAGGAACACCGGUGGCGAAGGCGGCCUUCUGGACAGUGACUGACGCUGAGACGCGAAAGCGUGGGGAGCAAACAGG